AUUGAACGCUGGCGGCAGGCUUAACACAUGCAAGUCGAUCGGAGAUGAGGUGCUUGCACCUUAUCUUAGCGGCGGACGGGUGAGUAAUGCUUAGGAAUCUGCCUAUUAGUGGGGGACAACAUUCCGAAAGGAAUGCUAAUACCGCAUACGCCCUACGGGGGAAAUCAGGGGAUCGUCGGACCUUGCGCUAAUAGAUGAGCCUAAGUCGGAUUAGCUAGUUGGUGGGGUAACGGCCUACCAAGGCGACGAUCUGUAGCGGGUCUGAGAGGAUGAUCCGCCACACUGGGACUGAGACACGGCCCAGACUCCUACGGGAGGCAGCAGUGGGGAAUAUUGGACAAUGGGCGGAAGCCUGAUCCAGCCAUGCCGCGUGUGUGAAGAAGGCCUUUUGGUUGUAAAGCACUUUAAGCGAGGAGGAGGCUACCUGGAUUAAUACUCUAGGAUAGUGGACUUUACUCGCAGAAUAAGCACCGGCUAACUCUGUGCCAGCCGCCGCGGUAACAC
rnacentral:rRNA from 1 species